rnacentral:rRNA from 1 species
GAACCGCCCAAACGUUAUUCGGAAUCACUGGGCUUAAAGGGUGCGUAGGGCGGUCCGGUAAGUUGGGGUGUGAAAGCCCUCGGGCUCAACCGAGGAACUGCGCCCAAUACUGCCGGGCUUGAGGGAGAUAGGGGUGAGCGGAACUUAGGGUGGAGCGGUGAAAUGCGUUGAUAUCCUAAGGAACACCGAUGGCGAAAGCAGCUCACUGGAUCUCUUCUGACGCUGAGGCACGAAAGCCAGGGGAGCGAACGGGAUUAGAUACCCCGGUAGUCCUGGCUGUAAACGAUGAGCACUAGGUUGGAGACCCCCCCAUAGGUUUCCGACUGGAGCGAAAGUGUUAAGUGCUCCGCCUGGGGAGUAUGGUCGCAAGGCUG